AGUGAACGCUGGCGGUAGGCCUAAUACAUGCAAGUCGAACGGCAGCACAGUAAGAGCUCGCUCCUACGGGUGGCGAGUGGCGGACGGGUGAGGCAUACAUCGGAAACUACUUUUUCGUGGGGGAUAGCGUAGGGAAACUUACGCUAAUACCGCAUACGUCCUACGGGUGAAAGCAGGGGAUCUUCGCACCUUGCGCGAUUGAAUUAGCUGAUGUCGGAUUAGCUAGUUGGCGGGGUAAAGGCCCACCAAGGCAACGAUCCGUAGCUGGUCUGAGAGGAUGAUCAGCCACACUGGAACUGAGACACGGUCCAGACUCCUACGGGAGGCAGCAGUGGGGAAUAUUGGACAAAGGGCGCAAGCCUGAUGCAGCCAUACCGCGUGAGUGAUGAAGGCCUUCGGAUUGUAAAGCCCUUUUGUUAGGAAAGAAAAGCAGCAGGUUAAUACCUCGCUGUUCUGACGGUACCCAAAGAAUAAGCAACGGCUAACUUCGUG
rnacentral:rRNA from 1 species